AUUCAAUGUUUGUUGUUUCUCCGGAAUAGCUUUGAAUUCUGAAAUAGUGACAAUAGAGUACCACAACAAGCUUGUCCUUGCUCCCAUGGUUCGAGUUGAACGCUACCGCUUAGGUUACUAGCUGCUGAUUAUGGUGCGGAUAUUACCUAUGCCAAGGAAGUUUUUUUAUCAAAAAAUGAUCAAAUACGAGCGCAUGGUUAAAGAUUUGAUCGGGUCUACUGAUUUGGUCGAGAAGGGAAGUGAUCUAAAGGCUGCUCAAAUUGUGUAUGUUUAUUCCUUUGACAUCCUUUCUUUUUUUGUCUUUUCGCUCAUGAAACUUGUGAUAAUGCCCCCUACGGACACUCGUUGGACACAUCUGGAUACGUAUGGGACACAUUAGAAUACAUAAAAAAAAUUUGACACGGUCCCAAUACUGUGACGAUGGAUAGAGGCGCCAAAUUGAAAAACCCUAGUUGAGAGUGAAAGGAGAGGCAGAGUUUAAGAUUUGUUUUUCUCCUGUUUUUUCGUGAAAGGAAUGAAAGACUAAAAGUAAGGCUGAAAGUUUUAGGGCUUUUUUAAAAGAGAUGAAAGGUUUUUUUUUUUCUCAGAAAAAUUUGAAGCAGUCUAAGGCCUGACUUGGCUAUUUGUAAUUAAUUUAAAAUAUUGGGUUGGAUUGCCUUUUUGGUUUAUUAUU